rnacentral:rRNA from 1 species
AUUGAACGCUGGCGGCAGGCCUAACACAUGCAAGUCGAGCGAGCGGCGGACGGGUGAGGAAUGUAUGGGGACUGCCCGAUAGAGGGGGAUAACUACUGGAAACGGUAGCUAAUACCGCAUACUAUCGGAUAACCCAGAUGGGAUUAGCUAGUAGGUGAGGUAAUGGCUCACCUAGGCGACGAUCCCUAGCUGGUCUGAGAGGAUGAUCAGCCACACGGAGACUGGGACACGGCCCAGACUCCUACGGAGGCAGCAGUGGGGAAUAUUGCACAAUGGGCGCAAGCCUGAUGCAGCCAUGCCGCGUGUUUGAAGAAGGCCCUAGGUUUGUAAAGUACUUUCAUUCGGGAGGCGUUCCCGACAGAAGAAGCCCCGGCUAACUCCGUGCCAGCAGCCGCGGUAAUUC